rnacentral:tRNA from 1 species
GGGGGUGUAGCUCAAUGGUAAAGUGCUUACCUAGCAUACACAAGGGCCUGGGUUCAAUUCCCAGUACUGCCC